GAUGAACGCUGGCGGCGUGCUUAACACAUGCAAGUCGAACGAAGCACCUUAUUCUGAUUUCUUCGGAAUGAAAAAUUUGGUGACUGAGUGGCGGACGGGUGAGUAACGCGUGGGUAACCUGCCUCAUACAGGGGGAUAACAGUUAGAAAUGACUGCUAAUACCGCAUAAGACCACAGCACCGCAUGGUGCAGGGGCAAAAACUCCGGUGGUAUGAGAUGGACCCGCGUCUGAUUAGGUAGUUGGUGGGGUAACGGCCUACCAAGCCGACGAUCAGUAGCCGACCUGAGAGGGUGACCGGCCACAUUGGGACUGAGACACGGCCCAAACUCCUACGGGAGGCAGCAGUGGGGAAUAUUGCACAAUGGGGGAAACCCUGAUGCAGCGACGCCGCGUGAGCGAUGAAGUAUUUCGGUAUGUAAAGCUCUAUCAGCAGGGAAGAAAAUGACGGUACCUGACUAAGAAGCACCGGCUAAAUACGUGCCAGCAGCCGCGGUAAUACGUAUGGUGCAAGCGUUAUCCGGAUUUACUGGGUGUAAAGGGAGCGUAGACGGAGUGACAAGUCUGAUGUGAAAACCCGGGGCUCAACCCCGGGACUGCAUUGGAAACUGUCAAUCUAGAGUACCGGAGAGGUAAGCGGAAUUCCUAGUGUAGCGGUGAAAUGCGUAGAUAUUAGGAGGAACACCAGUGGCGAAGGCGGCUUACUGGACGGUAACUGACGUUGAGGCUCGAAAGCGUGGGGAGCAAACAGGAUUAGAUACCCUGGUAGUCCACGCCGUAAACG
rnacentral:rRNA from 1 species